UGUCAGCAGCCGCGGUAAUACGGAGGAUGCAAGCGUUAUCCGGAUUCAUUGGGUUUAAAGGGUGCGUAGGCGGCUUUUUAAGUCAGUGGUGAAAUCCUGUCGCUCAACGAUAGAAUUGCCAUUGAUACUGAAAAGCUUGAGUUCAGUUGAGGUAAGCGGAAUGUGUAGUGUAGCGGUGAAAUGCUUAGAUAUUACACAGAACACCGAUUGCGAAGGCAGCUUACUAAACUGACACUGACGCUGAUGCACGAAAGCGUGGGGAUCGAACAGGAUUAGAUACCCUGGUAGUCCACGCCGUAAACGAUGAUCACUCGCUGUAUGCGAUACACAGUAUGCGGCCAAGCGAAAGCAUUAAGUGAUCCACCUGGGGAGUACGAUCGCAAGGUUGAAACUCAAAGGAAUUGACGGGGGCCCGCACAAGCGGAGGAACAUGUGGUUUAAUUCGAUGAUACGCGAGGAACCUUACCUGGGCUUAAAUGGGGAACGACAGCUGCCGAAAGGUGGCCUUCUUCGGACGUUCUUCAAGGUGCUGCAUGGUUGUCGUCAGCUCGUGCCGUGAGGUGUCGGGUUAAGUCCCAUAACGAGCGCAACCCUUAUCGUUAGUUGCCAGCGGGUCAAGCCGGGGACUCUAGCGAGACUGCCACCGUAAGGUGAGAGGAAGGUGGGGAUGACGUCAAAUCAGCACGGCCCUUAUGUCCAGGGCUACACACGUGUUACAAUGGCCGAUACAAAGGGCAGCUACCAGGCGACUGGAUGCUAAUCUCUAAAGUCGGUCUCAGUUCGGAUCGAAGUCUGCAACCCGACUUCGUGAAGCUGGAUUCGCUAGUAAUCGCGCAUCAGCCAUGGCGCGGCGAAUACGUUCCCGGGCCUUGUACACACCGCCCGUCAAACAAUGGAAGCUGGGGGUACCUGAAGUAUGUAACCGCAAGGAGCGUCCUAGGGUAAAACUAGUAACUGGUGUUAAGUCGUAACAAGGUAU
rnacentral:rRNA from 1 species